AUUGAACGCUGGCGGCAGGCUUAACACAUGCAAGUCGAGCGGUAGCACAAGAGAGCUUGCUCUCUGGGUGACGAGCGGCGGACGGGUGAGUAAUGUCUGGGAAACUGCCUGAUGGAGGGGGAUAACUACUGGAAACGGUAGCUAAUACCGCAUAACGUCGCAAGACCAAAGAGGGGGACCUUCGGGCCUCUUGCCAUCAGAUGUGCCCAGAUGGGAUUAGCUAGUAGGUGGGGUAAUGGCUCACCUAGGCGACGAUCCCUAGCUGGUCUGAGAGGAUGACCAGCCCCACUGGAACUGAGACACGGUCCAGACUCCUACGGGAGGCAGCAGUGGGGAAUAUUGCACAAUGGGCGCAAGCCUGAUGCAGCCAUGCCGCGUGUGUGAAGAAGGCCUUCGGGUUGUAAAGCACUUUCAGCGAGGAGGAAGGUGGUGAACUUAAUACGUUCAUCAAUUGACGUUACUCGCAGAAGAAGCACCGGCUAACUCCGUG
rnacentral:rRNA from 1 species